AUUGAACGCUGGCGGCAGGCUUAACACAUGCAAGUCGAGCGGGGAAAGGUAGCUUGCUACUUGACCUAGCGGCGGACGGGUGAGUAAUGCUUAGGAAUCUGCCUAUUAGUGGGGGACAACAUCUCGAAAGGGAUGCUAAUACCGCAUACGUCCUACGGGAGAAAGCAGGGGACCUUCGGGCCUUGCGCUAAUAGAUGAGCCUAAGUCGGAUUAGCUAGUUGGUGGGGUAAAGGCCUACCAAGGCGACGAUCUGUAGCGGGUCUGAGAGGAUGAUCCGCCACACUGGGACUGAGACACGGCCCAGACGCCUACGGGAGGCAGCAGUGGGGAAUAUUGGACAAUGGGGGGAACCCGGAUCCAGCCAUGCCGCGUGUGUGAAGAAGGCCUUUUGGUUGUAAAGCACUUUAAGCGAGGAGGAGGCUACCGAGAUUAAUACUCUUGGAUAGUGGACGUUACUCGCAGAAUAAGCACCGGCCAACUCUGUGCCAGCAGCCGCGGUAACAC
rnacentral:rRNA from 1 species